rnacentral:rRNA from 1 species
CAUAUGCUUGUCUCAAAGAUUAAGCCAUGCACGUCUAAGUUUAAGCAAUUUAAACAGUGAAACUGCAAAUGGCUCAUUAAAACAGUUAUAAUCCCUUUGAUGGUCACUUGCUACAUGGAUACCCGUGGUAAUUCUAGAGCUAAUACAUGCGCAAAGCCCCGACUCUUGCGGGAAGGGGUGUAUUUAUUAGAUAAAAAACCAAUGGGCGUUUUGCCUGGUGUUUCGGUGACUCAUAAUAACUGGACUGGUCGUAUGAAGGCUUGGCCUUGAUAGAUCAUUCAAGUUUCUGCCCUAUCAGCUUUCGAUGGUAGUGUAUUGGACUACCAUGGCAGUCACGGGUAACGGGGAAUUAGGGUUCGAUUCCGGAGAGGGAGCCUGAGAAACGGCUACCACAUCUAAGGAAGGCAGCAGGCGCGUAAAUUACCCAAUCCUGACUCAGGGAGGUAGUGACAAGAAAUAAUAACUCGUGGAACUUUUAGUUCUUUCGAGAUUAGAAUGAGAAUUUAAAAUCCUUAUCGAGGAACAAUUGGAGGGCAAGUCUGGUGCCAGCAGCCGCGGUAAUUCCAGCUCCAAUAGCGUAUAUUAAAGUUGUUGCAGUUAAAAAGCUCGUAGUUGAACUUCUGACUGUCAGAAGACCGGACGCGGCGGUUCGGUGUGUGAGUACCGGCGCGCGCCUGCCACCCUUCUGCAGAGCCAGUCUGCCCUUUAUUGGGUCGGGUCCGCCACUCCUGAUCGUUUACUUUGAAAAAAUUAGAGUGUUUAAAGCAGGCUUAUGCUAUGAAUACAUUAGCAUGGAAUAAUAAUAUAGGACUUUGGUUCUAUUUUGUUGGUUUCUAGGACUGAAGUAAUGAUUGAUAGGGAUAGUUGGGGGUGCUAGUAUUCAACGGCCAGAGGUGAAAUUCUUGGAUUCGUUGAAGACUAACUAAUGCGAAAGCAUUCACCAAGGAUGUCUUCUUUAAUCAAGAACGAAAGUUGGGGGAUCGAAGACGAUCAGAUACCGUCGUAGUCUCAACCAUAAACUAUGCCGACUAGGGAUGAGUGGACGUUGAAUUUACGACUCCAUUCGCACCUUAUGAGAAAUCAAAGUUUUUGGGUUCCGGGGGGAGUAUGGUCGCAAGGCUGAAACUUAAAGGAAUUGACGGAAGGACACCACCAGGAGUGGAACCUGCGGCUUAAUUUGACCCAACACGGGAAACCUUACCAGGUCCGGACAUAGGUAGGAUUGACAGGUUAAAGACCUUUCUUGAUUCUAUGGUUGGUGGUGC